UGAAUGUCAACUGGUGUCCAGUCGAACUUCAGUUGUGCUUCUGUUUGCUGCUUAAUUGCCAAAUACACUAACGGCUCCGAGUUGCUCUAUUACUAUUAAAGGGCUGGUUUACAUCUGGGGCAUCAUUAAUGUCAUCGCUUGUGCCCUGAUAAGUGUUUCCACGCUAUUGUAGGGGAACUCUGACUCUAGGACCUGCUACAGCACUGCCGGCCCGAGGCUGGGAGGCUAGCUAGCUUGGAGUACGGGUGGUGGUGCAAUUGUGUGGAGUGCAGUGCCGCUUGGAUUCACCUCUCACGGUGUGUGUGUGUGUGUGUGUGUGUGUGUGUGUGUGUGUGUGUUACACGAAUUCACAGAUAGGGUCUUCACUCCAUCUAGCCUGCCCCUGCCGCUGGAAAGCCUGUGUCUUUUAUUAUUUUUUUAUUUUUUUUUUUUUAUUAUUUUUUUGUUGUGAGUAUUUUCAAAUUGACAUCUUUAGUUUGUCCAGUACACAGAGCUUUUGAUUGUGACAGUGUUUGAUUGUGACCUGACAUUUGACAUUGAUUAUCACUGAACAUUUUAACUAUUUAUGGUGAUUUGAAUAAAGUCUUUUGUACAUUGUUCA